rnacentral:rRNA from 1 species
UACCAGCACCCCGAGUGGUCGGGACGAUUAUUGGGCCUAAAGCAUCCGUAGCCGGUUCUACAAGUCUUCCGUUAAAUCCACCUGCUUAACAGAUGGGCUGCGGAGGAUACUAUGGAGCUAGGAGGCGGGAGAGGCAAGCGGUACUUAGUGGGUAGGGGUAAAAUCCGUUGAUCCAUUGAAGGCCACCAGUGGCGAAGGCGGCUUGCCAGAACGCACUCGACGGUGAGGGAUGAAAGCUGGGGGAGCAAACCGG